CAUUUUAUUUUGAAGGGCAAACUUAAAUAUUUCCCGUUUGAAUGCUUACUAAAAUCAACGUGACCGCGUGUUUGUAGAAGUGAAAUCAUGUGACAGUUGUUGUGGAGAUGAGUGGGAGGGCAUGCUGAGCCUCACCCCUUAUUUAAAAAGAUAAUAGAAUGACUGUAUUCUGGAAGUAAAUAGUGAGAAGCGGCUGGUACAUUCUGUCUGCAAUGAUAUAGCACAGCUAAAAGUAGUAGGGAAGUAAGAAAACCAAAGACAAUGAGUUAUUUUGACCUGCCGCUGCAAAUAGCCUCAUGUGUCUAAACUCCACAAUAUUGAACGAAACAUCAGUUAUUUGGUAAAUGAUGUAAGACCACUUUUUAAAAAUACCGUUAAAUUUAACUACUCUAAUCGUCUCCGUGAGAGGUGGAUAAAAGAGGGUAUGUUAACAGCCUCUCUGAUCUAUUACUGCACAGCUCAAUAGGGAAAAUUAAAAGCCACACUGAUGACCAAAUUAUCUGUUCAAACUGUAAGAAGACAGAGCUCAGUAUUAAGUAUCUUGCAGGUUGAAGCCAGGUGAUUGGGUCCUGAUUCGAGUUCUCCAUAGAAAGAAUUGGAGCUCGCCCCGUUGGGAAGGUCCCUACCAAGUGCUCAUCACCACACCAACCGCCUGUAAGAUAGCAGAGAGACCAUCUUGGAUUCACCAAAGCCACUGCAAGAAAGUGAGUGACAGCCCAGACUCAGACUCCAGCACCCCUACCUUCUAGUGAUCUACCUGGUGAAGAGAGGGCUGAUUGGGUAUAUCCCGCCCUCUACUUCUCGCCAGUAGUCUACUCACCCGAGGAUCUAGGUGUGUUUGGCUGUCAUGAAGACACUCGCCAUCCUAGCAGCUGUCCUCCUGCUCCUAGCAGGACUCCUCGCACUUUUCGAGGACAAUAAAGAACAAAACACAAGCCAAACGUCCCGCCAGCUUUUCGGGCGUUGGCUAUCAGCAUAAUAAAAUCAUCAUCAACGAGACAAGCUCAUCUACCAUCUACUCCCUUAACUUCCUUAGUAUCUUUCAGGGACCACCCCAACACAAGAUAAUCACCAUUGAAGACGCUGGACUUGACAAUGGAACGUGUGACCAACUUUUCUGGAUCAACUUCAACGUGACAAACUUCGACAACACCUGCUGUACCUACAUCCUGGACAAUGUGCAUUCCUCAAACAUGACUGAUGCUCUGAAUGCCUUGAGGCAACUGAAGGAAGCCCAAAGUCAGGACUAUGUGAAAAACACCACUGAUUGGUUCACCUGGCUUUUCAACGGCUCAUGGCUACAAGUACUGAAGAGACUACUCAUUGGAGUUGGAGUGUUUUUAAUUUUGUUCUGCUUCUUUGCCACAUGUGUUAUCCCAUGUCUAAAAGCCAUAAUCAAACGAAUGAUUAACACCUCACUUGCAGCAUACGUCAGUAUUCCACUUGAUUUAGAACCUAAUGAUGAGAGUGAAGAUGAAAAUGCCACUGUUUAAAAUUAUAAUGUGAAUAUAACCAUGUUUGAUUAAAAUCACAUACACAAUGACGAGCUACUUGAAAAUGCAGACAGCAAGAAAGUAGACUUUGAUGUUUUAAGCAUGUUUUAUGAAGAAAUUAAAUCAGCAAAAACAGGAGGGAAUGUUAAGAGAUUUUUACAUUUACUUACUUUGAUAACUUUUAUUUUGCUUAAGUAUAAUUUCUUGUGAGAACAUGAUGUGCCUGCAACCUACAGAUUAAGGAACAGAAGCAUGCGUGAGGAAGUUACAAAGUAACACACUCUCAGGCAGAGACCGUUCCAACCUGAAGCUGAUAUGACAAAAGAUACUAGUUCCUCUUGUCUUAUGGAUAACGGCCACUCAUGCGAUAACCAUAUCUAGAGAUGUUUUUCUAUUACGUAUGCUCCACCUAGAGAUGCUGUGUAAUCUAUUCUCUGCUAUAAAAUAAAGAACGGACUGAGGCUC